rnacentral:rRNA from 1 species
AUUGAACGCUGGCGGCAGGCCUAACACAUGCAAGUCGAGCGGAGCGGCGGACGGGUGAGCAAUGCCUAGGAAUCUGCCUGGUAGUGGGGGAUAAGGUCCGGAAACGGGCGCUAAUACCGCAUAAUAUCAGAUGAGCCUAGGUCGGAUUAGCUAGUUGGUGGGUUAAAGGCCUACCAGGGCGACGAUCCGUAAAUGGUCGGAGAGGAUGAUCAGUAACACGGGAACGAGUACACGGUCCAGACUCCGACGGAGGGAAGCAGUGGGGAAUAUUGGACAAGGGGCGAAAGCCUGAUCCAGCCAUGCCGGGUGUGUGAAGAAGGUCUUGGGUUUGUAAAGCACUUUAAGUUGGGAGGCGUUACCAACAUAGUAAGCACCGGCUAACUUCGUGCCAGCAGCCGCGGUAAUAC